AUUGAACGCUGGCGGCAGGCCUAACACCUGCAAGUCGAACGAGUGGCGGACGGGUGAGUAAUGUCUGGGAAAAUGCCCGAAGGAGGGGGAUAACUACUGGAAACGGUAGCUAAUCCCGCCUACCAUCGGCUGUGCCCAGAUGGGCUUAGAGAGUAGGUGGGGUAAUGGCUCACCUAGGCGACGAUCCCUAGCUGGUCUGCGAGGAUGCCCAGCCACACUGGAACUGAGACACGGUCCAGACUCCUACGGGAGGCAGCAGUGGGGAAUAUUGCACAAUGGGCGCAAGCCUGAUGCAGCCAUGCCGCGUGUAUGAAGAAGGCCUUCGGGUUGUAAAGUACUUUCAGCGGGGAGGCGUUACCCGCAGAAGAAGCACCGGCUAACUCCGUGCCAGCCGCCGCGGUAAUUC
rnacentral:rRNA from 1 species